rnacentral:rRNA from 1 species
AGUCGAACGAUGAAGCCCAGCUUGCUGGGUGGAUUAGUGGCGAACGGGUGAGUAACACGUGGGUGAUCUGCCCUGCACUUCGGGAUAAGCCUGGGAAACUGGGUCUAAUACCGGAUAUGACCAAGGACUGCAUGGUUUUUGGUGGAAAGGUUUACUGGUGCAGGAUGAGCCCGCGGCCUAUCAGCUUGUUGGUGGGGUAAUGGCCUACCAAGGCGACGACGGGUAGCCGGCCUGAGAGGGCGACCGGCCACACUGGGACUGAGACACGGCCCAGACUCCUACGGGAGGCAGCAGUGGGGAAUAUUGCACAAUGGGCGAAAGCCUGAUGCAGCGACGCCGCGUGAGGGAUGACGGCCUUCGGGUUGUAAACCUCUUUCAGCAGGGACGAAGCGCAAGUGACGGUACCUGCAGAAGAAGCACCGGCCAACUACGUGCCAGCAGCCGCGGUAAUACGUAGGGUGCGAGCGUUGUCCGGAAUUACUGGGCGUAAAGAGCUCGUAGGCGGUUUGUCGCGUCGUCUGUGAAAACCCGCAGCUCAACUGCGGGCUUGCAGGCGAUACGGGCAGACUUGAGUACUGCAGGGGAGACUGGAAUUCCUGGUGUAGCGGUGAAAUGCGCAGAUAUCAGGAGGAACACCGGUGGCGAAGGCGGGUCUCUGGGCAGUAACUGACGCUGAGGAGCGAAAGCGUGGGUAGCGAACAGGAUU